CAAAUAUAAUAAUAAACUUUUAUAUUUAAACGAAAAUUUUAUAAAAUUAAAAGAUUCUAUUAUUGGCAUGGAAUCUAGUAUUAAUCGUAAUAUUAAUAGCAGUUAUAAUAAUCACAAUAAAUAUAGUUUUUCGAAUUUUGUUGAUGAGGAAAAGCCAUAUUUUAAGAACAUACGAAAACAAUGCAAAAAAAAUUGUAAAUUGUUUGAAUUGUAAUUAUGAUAUGUUGGAUAUAAAAGAAGUGGUUGACACAUUGGAUACAAUUACUAAUCCAAAUUAUGACGAAAGAUUUGAUAAAAAUGAAUAUUUAAAAUUAUUCAUUGAUAAAUAUCAUUAUGUUUAUCCUUACGAAAAUAUAAAAGGAUUAAGACAAAUUCGAAAAUUCGUUGAAAAUAAUUAUAAAAUAAAAAAAAAUUUUUAUAUAAAUGAAGAGGAUAUAUCAUAUAUGUAUUUAAAAACAGACUUAGAAAAAAUAAUUAAAAAUGACCAUUUUGUGAAUAAUAUGUUAAAUCUUAAUAUAAACAAUGGUAAGUUUUGGAUCCAGUUAGUUCAUAAUAUAUGGAUCCCACUCAUACUACAUAUAUUUAAUUCAACACAAAAUUCAUUUUAUUCUUAUUUUAUAAACUAUAGUAGCGAUUUCACUGUACUUGAUCAGUAUGUUUAUUCAAAAAGGGAUACAAAUUUUUACAAGUUUUCGCACCACAUAUUUACAGGCAUCCUGUUCAGCGGAGUACCCAGCAUUUACAGACUACUCAUGCGACUACACGCAUAUAAAUACAUAGAAACAAGAAUCAACAUGAUACUAGAAAAAAAAUCACAAAAAUAUUUAUAACGAGGGUGUUAUAUCUAGUUUAAAUUAUAACAUGGAUAUUAUACGAACCUUAUUUCCUUUUUUUAAAGAAUUUGUUAAUAUAAAUAUGGAACAUAUUGUUGAAAAAUUUUUUGAGUCUCGUUUUUUUAAUAUAGUAAUUUCUUCAUUAAAAAAAAAAGAAUAUUAAGAAAGUUAUAAUAAACACAAAAUAUAUUACUUUUGUAAACUCUUU
rnacentral:lncRNA from 1 species